CACUCAAUGCCGCUUUGAGCUUCUGGAAAGCGUCCGUGCACUCUGGGGUCCAGGCGACCUGUUUGGGAAGGGCCUUUUUGGUAAGGUCCGUGAGGGGCUUGGCCACGGCGCUAUAUUCUGGGACGAACUUCCUGUAAUACCCGGCCGUCCCUAAGAAAGCCAGUACCUGGGUUUUGGUCCGGGGUUGGGGCCAGUUAGCUAUGGCCUCUACCUUAGCGGGCUCUGGGCGUUGUCUACCGGAGCCGACCCGGUGGCCUAGAUACUGGACCUCGGCUAGGCCUACGUGACAUUUGUCGGGUUUUAAAGUGAGCCCGGCGAGGUGGAUUCGUUCGAGCACCCUGGACACAUGACCCAGAUGGUCUCCCCAUGUGCGGCUAUAGAUGGCAAUAUCAUCUAGAUACGCACAUGCGAAGUCCUGCAAUCCCUCCAGGAGCCUAUCCGCCAUCCGCUGAAACGUAGCCGGGGCGUUCUUCAUCCCAAA